AACGAACGCUGGCGGCAGGCUUAAUACAUGCAAGUCGAGGGGCAGCAUGAUUGUAGCAAUACAAUUGAUGGCGACCGGCAAACGGGUGCGGAACACGUACACAACCUUCCAAUAAGUGGGGAAUAGCCCAGAGAAAUUUGGAUUAAUACCCCGUAACAUAACGAUGUGGCAUCACAUUGAUAUUAUAGAUUUUUCGCUUAUUGAUGGGUGUGCGGCUGAUUAGAUAGUUGGCGGGGUAACGGCCAACCAAGUCUACGAUCAGUAGCUGAUGUGAGAGCAUGAUCAGCCACACGGUCACUGAGACACGUGCCCGUCUCCUACGGGAGGCAGCAGUAAGGAAUAUUGGACAAUGGACGCAAGUCUGAUCCAGCCAUGCCGCGUGAAGGAUUAAGGUCCUCUGGAUUGUAAACUUCUUUUAUAAGGGACGAAAAAAGGCUUUUCUAAGUCGUCUGACGGUACCUUAUGAAUAAGCACCGGCUAACUCCGUGCCAGCCGCCGCCGUAACAC
rnacentral:rRNA from 1 species